rnacentral:rRNA from 1 species
ACGAACGCUGGCGGCGUGCUUAACACAUGCAAGUCGAACGGUAAGGCCCUUCGGGGUACACGAGUGGCGAACGGGUGAGUAACACGUGGGUGAUCUGCCCUGCACUUCGGGAUAAGCCUGGGAAACUGGGUCUAAUACCGGAUAUGACUGCGAAUCGCAUGGUUUGUGGUGGAAAGCUUUUGCGGUGUGGGAUGGGCCCGCGGCCUAUCAGCUUGUUGGUGGGGUGAUGGCCUACCAAGGCGACGACGGGUAGCCGGCCUGAGAGGGUGUCCGGCCACACUGGGACUGAGAUACGGCCCAGACUCCUACGGGAGGCAGCAGUGGGGAAUAUUGCACAAUGGGCGCAAGCCUGAUGCAGCGACGCCGCGUGAGGGAUGACGGCCUUCGGGUUGUAAACCUCUUUCAGUAUCGACGAAGCGCAAGUGACGGUAGGUACAGAAGAAGGACCGGCCAACUACGU